AUUGAACGCUGGCGGCAGGCCUAACACAUGCAAGUCGAACGAGUGGCGGCCGGGUGAGUUAUGCCUGGGACACUGCCUGAUGGAUGGUGAUAACUACGGGAAACUGUAGCUAAUACCGCAUACCAUCAGCUGUUCCCCGAUGGGAUUAGCUUGGUGGUGGGGUAAAGGCUCACCAAGCCGACGAUCCCUAGCUGGUCUGAGAGGCUGACCAGCCACACUGGAACUGAGACAAGGUCCAGACUCCUCCGGGAGGCAGCAGUGGGUAAUAUUGCGAAAUGGGCGAAAGCCUGAUGCAGCUAUGCCGCGUGAAUGAAGAAGGCCUUCGGGUUGUAAAGUACUUUCAGUGGGGAGGCGUUAACAACAGAAGAAGCACCGGCUAACUCCGUGCCAGCAGCCGCGGUAAUAC
rnacentral:rRNA from 1 species